rnacentral:rRNA from 1 species
CGCGUAGGCGGCGUAUGUAGUCAGGCGUGAAAGCCCCGGGCUUAACCUGAGAAUUGCGCUUGAUACUGAUAUGCUAGAGUUCGGGAGAGGUGAGUGGAAUUCCCAGUGUAGAGGUGAAAUUCGUAGAUAUUGGGAAGAACACCGGUGGCGAAGGCGGCUCACUGGACCGAUACUGACGCUGAGGCGCGAAAGCGUGGGGAGCAAACAGGAUUAGAUACCCUGGUAGUCCACGCCGUAAACGAUGUGCGCUAGACGUCGGAAAGCUUAGCUUUUCGGUGUCGCAGCUAACGCAUUAAGCGCACCGCCUGGGGAGUACGGCCGCAAGGUUAAA